rnacentral:tRNA from 1 species
GCCGAAAUAGCUCAGUUGGGAGAGCGUUAGACUGAAGAUCUUAAAGGUCCCCUGGUUCAAUCCCGGUUUCGCAGCG